UAUAAACUUGUAAUUUUUGGAGCACCACAAAUGUCAGUUAAGUUGAGAAUUCAGUCUGUGCAAGUAAAGUCAUGAACAUGGGCUCUAUUCAUUGGAAUUAGGCCGAUCAUGAGAUGCAGAAGUGGUUCUCGGUCCCUCUCACAUUGAACUGGUGAUGAGUUCGGAAGCUGGUUGUGAAAAUUAAAGGCAAAAACAAGCUAGACCCGGUUCAAUUUGCCUUCAAUAGCCAUUUAAAUGCAUGAAGAAAUUAAGAGGAGCAUCAAACUGACAAAGCCUCCCGAUGUUAAUUGGCUCUGAUGAAAACAAGCAAGCGGCUUACCAGUAGUUUAACUUUAGCAUGGCAUAGCUAAUGUGAUUAUGUCUGCAGUUUCCUUUGUGCCAAAUAUUGAUGUGUUUUAUCAGGCAUCAAAAGUUAGUCAGCAGUUGAGCAAACUGCCAACAUUAAGAGAAAUAAUUAAUUACUUUUGUUUGUAAAAGAGGUUUAAGAAUGAAGACCACAUAGUGCUGGUAUAUGAGAACAAACAUGAAGGCCUUUUACACAUUUAAUGUAAACGUAAAUUCCGAGUGUUUUAAUCAAAAUGAAUUGUAAACCAAAUGCUUUGAAAGUAAAAAAGAAAGACUGUUUAAACAUUUGUGAAUGUUUUUUUUUA